GCGCCCGUAGCUCAGUCGGUAGAGCGGUGGAACGGUGGGUGAUCCACAGACCCGGGUUCAAGUCCCGGCGGUCGCU